GAUGAAGAACGCAGCGAAUUGCGAUAUGUAAUGUGAAUUGCAGAAUUCAGUGAAUCAUCGAAUCUUUGAACGCACAUUGCGCCCAUUAGUAUUCUAGUGGGCAUGCCUGUUCGAGCGUCAUUAAGUCCACUUAAGCCCUGCUUAGUGUUGGGAGACUGCUCCAGCGGUGCUACCCUGUAGCUACCCUGCAGCUCCUCAAAGACAGCGGCGGAGUUGUGGUAUCCUCUGAGCUUAGUAACUUGUUCUAGCUUUCGAGUACACCACUUCCCCUGCCGUAAAACCCUUAAUUUUUAAUGGUUGACCUCGGAUCAGGUAGGAAUACCCGCUGAACUUAAGCAUAUCAAUAAGCGGAGGA
rnacentral:misc_RNA from 1 species